AGAUGACAUGUAAUAUUGGAGGCCGGCUUUUCAUUGACCUAACAACUCCUAUUGAAAAGGGUGGGCCUCAUAAGAUGGGACCCUCAUUUGUGUUUCACAGGCUCAGCUGGAACCUUGACAUGGCCACAAAUGAGCUAGAAACUGAACUGAUAAGAUCAUAAAUUAAAGUCAGGCAUCCAGCCGAUGGGCCACACUGCUUGAGCAAAAUGGCUGGACUUGUGAAGAGGCCCGGACGCAGCUUCUGUGGUGUACAAGCGGAGCAUUGAUAUGAAAGAGGCCAUUGGAUGGUUUUUAACAUGGGAUGAGUCGGACUUCAAAGAUGCAAAAAAAGUCAAUUCAAAGUAAUAAGCAGCAGUAUCACCUUUAACAGUAAGUGACAAGACAAGACACAGAAGAGGAGGCCAGGACCUUUGCUUGUGUGCCGACAGCGUGCAGAGGGAGGUAGGACGGACGGUGUGUGGUACAUGUUUGACAGUAACAGCAGCGACUUUCAGGAAGAGGUGCACCCUGGGAAGCCAGAGGACAAAAACAAAAAAAAGACACACAGACAGGUUAGUAAAAAAAAGAAAAACAAAGACACCAAUAGUUGACAGACUGGUUAGUGUAAUGACACCACUGUUAAUUUAGACAAUAGAGGCAAUACAAAGGAGUGACUUCCCAUGUAGAUGAAGCUUUACCGUCAUUUGAAAAUGGGUUGUUUUCCAUAUAUAAAUCCUGUGAAGGACAGCCGGGUCCCAUGCCCGGCAGGGACGCCCCUGCUGCUUAUGUUCCGGGAGAGCCACCAUGGGCA